GGCUCUUGUUUAGUGAAGAACAUCUGUUUUACAUGCAGAAGAUUCCAGGUUCAAUCCCUGGCAUCUCCA